UAGAGCACUCACAUUCACAAAGUAAUAUUUUAAUCAAAGAAUAUCCCUGAGUUAAUUUGGCUCAGCUAUAUAAAUACUUGUUAUUCUUUGAUAAUAUUGUCUCUAUCUGAAUUUAUAUAACUUCUGAAUUGUGUGUGUGAGAAAAUGUUUGAACUUUAAUUGUUAAAAGUGCAAGACUGGAUAGCUUUCACUGGCAUAUCUGUUUGUAAUUUUCUUUCUAACAAUGUCUGUAUUAUUUCGAUAGCAUAUGACUGGAUAUUCCCAUUGAAUACUUCCAGAAUUUAUUUUUUAUCAGACUCCUCUCCUCCACAGGAUCCUGGAUUACAAGUGUGCACUCAUAAAUUUUCUGGGAGCCUAAACUAAGGACACAAGGGUUCUCCAAGUUCCUCAGAGAAAGGAAGAAUGAAGUGCUCAAGGGGAUCAUAGGGGAGUGCAACCUGAGGAACUUUUCCCCAGAGUGUAUGAUGAUCAAUUUGUGCCUAAGGAAUCUGACGUAUCCACCCACAAAGGAAACAAGGUGAUAUGUUUCCUGGUUUGUCAAAUUUGCAGAAAGAUUUUGUUGAUAUAUACAAGCUGUAGAGUAAAAAUAAAGAGAAAAUGGGAAGUUUAAAGGUGGAAUUAGAAGAAAACAUCAAGAAUGAGAGAAUUAGGAAGAAAACAUUAAGAGAGUUAUAAGCAAAACAGCAAGAGAGACAGGAAGCACAUUUCUGAUAGAGAUAAUUAAAGCAAUAAGCAACUGCACCAGAAGACGAAGAAACAAAAAUCAUAAGGUAAAUAUUAAGACAUAGUAUGAAAGUACCUUUUCCCUUAUGCGUGUGGAUAAAAAAGUCUCAUGCUUUUAAUUCCUUCAUUCUGGAGGCAGAAGCAGGCAGAUCUCUGUGAUUUCAAAGCCAGCCUGGUCUAGAGAGUGAGCUCCAGGACAGUCUCCAAGGCAAUACAGAGAAUCCCUGUCUCAAUAAACCCAAACCGAAACCAAAAAGUCUGAGUUUGCUCAUUCUUUGGAUUCUUUUUGAGCCCUGUGCUGCUGGAGGCUGGUAUCCAAGCAGUAUUCGUUGAGGUAAUGGAAAUUCCCUGUGCCACACUUAUCCAAAUAUUGGACCCUGUUGCCAAAGAUUCCUGUGAAAUAUCU